rnacentral:rRNA from 1 species
UACGAAGGGAGCUAGCGUUGUUCGGAAUCACUGGGCGUAAAGCGCACGUAGGCGGAUGUGUCAGUCAGGGGUGAAAUCCCGGAGCUCAACUUCGGAACUGCCUUUGAUACAGCACGUCUUGAGUCCGAUAGAGGUGGGUGGAAUUCCUAGUGUAGAGGUGAAAUUCGUAGAUAUUAGGAAGAACACCGGUGGCGAAGGCGGCAUCCUGGACCGGUAUUGACGCUGAGGCGCGAAAGCUAGGGGAGCAAACGGG